GAUGAACGCUGACAGAAUGCUUAACACAUGCAAGUCUACUUGAAGCUAACUUCGGUUAGUGGAUGGUGGCGGACGGGUGAGUAACGCGUAAAGAACUUGCCUCACAGAUUGGGACGACAUUUGGAAACGAAUGCUAAUACCGGAUAUUAUGAUACUUCUGCAUGGAAGAAUCAUGAAAGCUAUAUGCGCUGUGAGAGAGCUUUGCGUCCCAUUAGCUAGUUGGAGAGGUAACGGCUCACCAAGGCGAUGAUGGGUAGCCGGCCUGAGAGGGUGAACGGCCACAAGGGGACUGAGACACGGCCCUUACUCCUACGGGAGGCAGCAGUGGGGAAUAUUGGACAAUGGACCAAAAGUCUGAUCCAGCAAUUCUGUGUGCACGAUGAAGUUUUUCGGAAUGUAAAGUGCUUUCAGUUGGGAAGAAGCAAGUGACGGUACCAACAGAAGAAGCGACGGCUAAAUACGUGCCAGCAGCCGCGGUAAUACGUAUGUCGCAAGCGUUAUCCGGAUUUAUUGGGCGUAAAGCGCGUCUAGGUGGUUAUAUAAGUCUGAUGUGAAAAUGCGGGGCUCAACUCCGUAUUGCGUUGGAAACUGUAUGACUAGAGUACUGGAGAGGUAAGCGGAACUACAAGUGUAGAGGUGAAAUUCGUAGAUAUUUGUAGGAAUGCCGAUGGGGAAGCCAGCUUACUGGACAGAUACUGACGCUAAAGCGCGAAAGCGUGGGUAGCAAACAG
rnacentral:rRNA from 1 species